GGGAGGGCCCUGGGAGGAGGAUCUCUUAGAGAGGAUGGCUGUGGGGGAUCCCUUGCUUGUGGGUCUCGGUUUGAGACCUGCACUUGCUGCCUAACAGCUUCUGGAUGUCAGAUAGUGCUUAAUUAGAAUGCCCCAGCUUUGCUGGGAGAGAGAGCAAGGGAAAUAAGUUUUGCUCAUCCCUGCUCUCCUUAGAGAAUCUGGAAGGCCAUGCCCACUUAAGUAGACAUGGGGUGGCCGGCAGGAUCCUGCACUUAGCUUAUUUCACAUUAAUGCAGGAUCCUGCACUUGGCUUAUUUCAUAUUAAUUCAGGAUUCUGCACUUGGUUUGCCUUUCAGAUUGCUUAAGAUCGGGCCUUUGAAGAACCAGGAUGAGCCAUUGUGAAAGAUGGAAGCAAGACACGCUGGUCCAAGGCCUAAUGAAGAAAGAAAGAGGAUCAAGUGGACAACGGGGGACAACCCAGCGAGGGAUUCAGAACUGGCGCCGACGAUCUACAAUCAUCUCUUCUUACACCUACAAUCCUCUCUUCCAAAGAGAGCGCCUAGGCCAGUCCACCCAGUGUUUAACUUGGCAGUGCAGGCUCAGCCGGUUGCCUGAAUUGGAGCCGAGAAGGAAUUUUCCCUGUGGAACCCCAUAUUGGCCCUGGUGGAAGACAUAGGUUUUUGCCUUCUCUGCAGUGCCUUCCCCUUGAACUGCCGCCUCUUGAGUAGCAGCCAAGGAGGAGUUAAAAUGGGUGGCGUGCUGGGGGGGUGGGGGGAUGGGUCUUUGUGCAAUAAAAUCUUUAAAAUGUA